UUUACUUUCUAAUCCAAAGACCCCAGUCGUGUUGAUACACUGGCCCAGGAUCUGCUCUGGAGUGUCUGAGGUAUCUGAGUGAACAGACACCUUGGGACCCUGGGCUCUGGCACCUCCAUCAGAACUGCUUUGCAAAUAUCUCUGGAGACCAGACAAAAGAAGGGUGAAGUGGAUGGAGGCCCAGAGGUGGGCAGGAGCCAUGCUGGGCAGAGCCUUGAGGCUCCAGGAAGGAAUUAAGGUUGUUGGAGUUUUAGGCACAGAAUUGACACAAUUCUACUGAAUGAUUGUGUUGGAUCAGCCUGGUUUACAAGCCCAGGGCACAGCAGAUGGCAAAAAACAAAAAACAAAAAUAGGGUGUAAAAUUGCAGUUAGCUGAAGGCCAAGGUGGCAGGAGAGUCUGUGCCUGGACAGAAGCAGCAGCCGUAUCUGGAGGAAGAGAGAAUCGCCCAGAUUGAGCAGCCGUGCCAACUCCCUGCUCCCUCAGGCUGGGCAUCUGAACUGCUGGCAGAGCAGCCAGGCAGGGCCUGGUCUCCACAAGCUGAUCACCUCACCAGCCAUGCCAGGUUGUGGCUGGACGCAAGGGCACGACUUAGGAUAAGAAACUGGCUCUGUCAAUUCAUCUGUUCAAGAACUUGCAGGCCCUGCUCGAGGCCUGGUAUUAUCUGAGUACUGUCACAACAGAAGUGAAACAGGCCAGUGGCUUUGUAAGACGCACACAGCCUAUGAAUGACAGGUGAUUCCUGCACCAACCUGGCAGCUGCCUUCCGGGAGCCUGAGGAUUUACCCCAUGUGGAUGUUACAACUGACCAUCACAAGCCAAGCACGAGACAGCACGGAGACUGGUGGAAAAGGAGGAACGCCUUCUGGAGUUUCACCCAAGAAGAUCUAGUUCUGCCUGUGUCUGAAGGGAAAGAAGACCAGGGAUCCAGGCCUGCCUUCUUCCUCGUGUGAGUGACCGUAAUCCAUGCGGGAAUUCAUCUCUUGCUCUCACCAUGGCCAAGGUCUGCUCUACACAUGGGCCCAGAGGCCACACUUUCAGUACUUCUGAGAAGCUGAUGAUGGCAUCUGUGACAUGGGAGGUCUUUAAUCCUGAGGCAAGGGUAUGAGUUCUGCCAGCCCUCUGUACCAUCUGGAAGCAACGCUGGGAAUAUUUGCAGGUCCACAAAUGGUAUUUGAUUGUUUCAUGGCAUGAAAGACUUAAUUUGAGCCUUAAUGGAGAAAGCAGACUAACGAAGAUUGAGGAAACAUGGCCUAUGAGAACAAAACGUGCUGAGUUUGAGUAAAGCUACACAUUCUACACGUUGUAGUCAGCACUCAGAACACUGCAGGAUUCAUCCUCAGAGUGAAGGUGGUGGGCACUGCACAGGCUUGAGCUGCUUUUGUUGAUGACUCUUCAUGGGUAUUAAGAAUGUGAAAAACGUCUGUGGUUCUCCUAAUGAGAGAUAGCAAGUGGAAAGCAGCAAGCAGAAACAUGGAUGAAGGUGCUGGGCUUUCUGGUGCCAAGGGAGAGUUUGUGAAGACUUCUUGACAGUAGUGGACGUCACACAUACCCUCCACCCUACAUACUGUUCCAGAAUUGUUAUAGUACUUGGUCCCUGAGAGCUUUGGUAGAAGAGGAUAACAUAUGAAGACUGAGAGAAGGGAGAUGGAGACCCAAAAUGCCAACAGACACCAUCAUGUAUGCACUGUAAUAAACUGCCCUGGGCCAAGUGCACUGGCCAAAGUUUGGACAGCCGUGCAGCUGAUCCGGCUCAAAGAAGGGAUCAGAGGAAGAGCUUUGUCCUACAUCCCUGGGCCAGGGACAGAAUGAAACCCAGUUCUGUCACAGCAGAGUGGGCAGAGUGUGAAGCCCUGGGUCCUGUAUGUGUGGCUGGUAUUGAAGCAGGAUGGCCAGGCAGAUGAUUCGAUCUGACUUGGGUGAGAAGAGGUGAAGAGACAGAAGCAGUGCAAGUAUGAAGGUGUACGUCUGCAGGAAUGCCCCUGUACCUGCCGCUACAAUGAGUGAACAGAGAAAAGAGUCCAGGAGAGGAAAAGAAAAGCCAGGAGAGCAGGAGUAUUCUGAGGAAGCAACUUCUAAACUGCAGAAGAGGUUGGCCUGGUUAUGAUACCUGUAUUUGCAAGAGUAAUACUACUGGGCUUCCCAGGUGGCUCAGACAGUAAAGAAUCUGCCUGCAAUGUGGGAGACCCCAGUUUGAUUCCUGAGUUGGGAAGAUCCCCUGGAGAAGGGAAUGGUAACCCACUCCAGUA